UACGUAGGGUGCAAGCGUUGUCCGGAAUUAUUGGGCGUAAAGAGCUCGUAGGCGGUCUGUUGCGUCGGCUGUGAAAACCCGGGGCUCAACCCCGGGCCUGCAGCCGAUACGGGCGGACUAGAGUUCGGCAGGGGAGACUGGAAUUCCUGGUGUAGCGGUGAAAUGCGCAGAUAUCAGGAGGAACACCGGUGGCGAAGGCGGGUCUCUGGGCAGUAACUGACGCUGAGGAGCGAAAGCGUGGGGAGCGAACAGG
rnacentral:rRNA from 1 species